rnacentral:rRNA from 1 species
AUUGAACGCUGGCGGCAGGCCUAACACAUGCAAGUCGAACGAGUGGCGGACGGGUGAGUAAUGUCUGGGAAACUGCCUGAUGGAGGGGGAUAAAUAAUGGAAAAGGUAGAUAAUACCGCAAACCGUCAGAUGGGCCCAGAUGGGAGUAGCUAGUUGGUGGGGUAACGGCUCACAAAGGCGACGAACCCUAGCUGGUCAGAGAGGAUGACCAGCCACACUGGAACUGAGACACGGUCCAGACGCCUACGGGAGGCAGCAGUGGGGAAUAUUGCACAAUGGGCGCAAGCCUGAUGCAGCCAUGCCGCGUGUAUGAAGAAGGCCUUCGGGUUGUAAAGUACUUUCAGCGGGGAGGCGUUACCCGCAGAAGAAGCACCGGCUAACGCCGUGCCAGCAGCCGCGGUAAUUC